rnacentral:rRNA from 1 species
ACUCAAAUGAAUUGACGGGGGCCCGCACAAGCAGCGGAGCGUGUGGUUUAAUUCGACGCAACGCGCACCACCUCACCCAGAUUUGACAUGCUAGUGCAAGCUGCGGAAACGCAGUCGCCUUCGAGGGUCUAGCACAGAUGCUGCAUGGCUGUCGUCAGCUCGUGUCGUGAGAUGUUGGGUUCAGUCCCGCAACGAGCGCAACCCUUGCCCCUAGUUACUGGUGUCUAGGGGGACGGCCACCCGCGAGGGUGGAGGAAGGCGGGGAUGACGUCAAGUCCGCAUGGCUCUUACAUCUGGGGCGACACACACGCUACAAUGGCCGGAGCAGUGCGCUGCCACCUGGCAACAGGGAGCAAAUCGCCAAGACCGGUCACAGUGCAGAUCGGGGGCUGCAACUCGCCCCCGUGAAGGCGGAGUUGCUAGUAACCGCGCAUCAGAACUGGCGCGGUGAAUACGUACCCGGGCCUUGUACACACCGCCCGU